GUGCUGCUGCUGCCCCAGCUGCCGAGGAGAAGAAGGAGGAGGCGAAGGAGGAGAGCGACGAUGACAUGGGUUUCAGCUUGUUCGACUAAGCAGUCCACAGAUGUUAGCCAGUCCGCCUAUGCUUUGCAAGACUAUCUUAUGUUGUGUCUUUUAGGUUCACUUAAAGUACUCUCAAGUUUUGAGUUUUGAUAUGGUGUUAUCGAGAAUCUGUGUCUGUGGGAUGAGAACCUCAAACCUCCUUGGAUGGUCCUAUUAGAAUGAAACCGUUCUACAUUCUU
rnacentral:sRNA from 1 species